UUCGCGCGCUCGAACUGACAAAUCCUCCGUUGUGGUGAAAUUUCUUUCGUCGCCGUGAUGUCAGACUGUUUUCAAAAACAGUCGAGAUAAAAGCCGAGCCGGCAGAGCGCUUCGGAAGUCCAACCAGCGAACUCCAGAUUAGUGCUGCGAAGUCAAUAAUCCUGAUAUCAAGUGAAGCGAGGUCGGAUUGAAUAUGACCAAGGUUUUGAUCAAAUUACCGCAAAAAAAAUAUAAACUUCUAACCGGGAAGGCUACUGGAUCGGUCAAACUACAUCCUCCAUGACUUUCAUCAAUGCCCCAGAUAUUUAUAACAUCCGGGGAUCCAUUCCAGAGCAGCGAAAAUUUCAACACAAACAUCACAAUUUUUUUACUUGUUAUCAUGUAUUAUUAUUAUGUAUUAUGUAUGAGACAAUGAAUAAAUGUUAUGCUCUAUGCGGAAACAAUUGAGCGGCACAUUUUUCCGUA